rnacentral:rRNA from 1 species
ACCUGAGGUGAAGUAGGAGGACCCGCUGAACUUAAGCAUAUCAUUAAGCGGAGGAAAAGAAACUAACAAGGAUUCCCCUAGUACGGGCGACGGAAGCGGGAAAAGCCCACAGUGUUAAUCUCCGUACCUCGUACGGCGAAUUGUGAUCUGAAGGCCUGUAGCCUUCCGGGACGUCGGACGCAGAAGUGCCGAGGAGUCGGCUGCCGAAGAGGGUGAGAGCCCCGUCUGCAGUGUCCGGUACCCGAG